GGUCCCCUGGGCUCAGACUUCAUGUCCGUUAUCCUACGUAAGUUGCGAUUUUGAGAACUGGAGCCUGACAUGGUCCCAUUUUACAGGCUUGGGACAGUUCAACCACCCAGGUUGGAGGGAAAUGGUGCUCAAGUCUGGUUCCCUCCAGAUCUCCCAGGUGAUACAGCUUCUACCCCUGUUCCACUGAACGACCUCACUUCCUCUGUGACCCGUCAGCUCAUCCAGGAUUCCUCAAACCCGCUUCAUCACAGCAGGAGAGCCCCAGGCUCUGUGGGAGACCACCCUCUGGGGUGUUUGGUCGGAAGAACCCCCGUGUGUGCAGUUUCCCCACACCCACCACCUCGGCUCUGGUUUGCUUUCGCGCUAUGAAUGUCUGCUUCCCCAUCUCAACCCUCCUGGGAGGAUGUCACAAACACGCACAGCCUCUGGCUCCACACACUCCCGCCUUGGCCCCAGGAGCCCCGGAUCAUCUCCCAGCCCUGCCCUCUGCCAGCUACCUUGUCCCAGUCCACCACUUUGAACUUUGGCUCCAUCAAAGGGUCUGUCUUCUGAGUGUUCACAGAGGCCACAGUCCCAUUCUCCACGGAGCCCUGGGGAGAGAAGAGACAGGAAUUGCAGAGCCCGUGGGUCACAGGCUGGGGCAGCUAGGUCCACAUGCCCAUAAGAAAUGCAGCCCAGAGAAGAAGACGGUCCCUCUAGGAGCUCCCAUGUGUGGGUCAGCAGCUGUACGUGGGGCAGAACUGGCAGAGAGGUGCCCAGAUGGGCUCAAGGUGAAAUCGAAGUCGCAGAGAAGCCAAGUCAGAAGGAAAUGGAAUUGUGGAAUGUACCAGGAAAGUCACAUGGCUGCAGCUGGCCCUGACGUCAUGGGGUGGUGGUGAGGAGGCUGGGGAGGGCAGGAGAGAGGUGGGGAGAGCAAUGCCACUGGGAGGCCUGCCCUCAGAUGCCCCGUGACUAAAGCAUACUGUGGUGCCGGUGACCGUGGUGGGGACCCCGGAAGCAGGGUACUUGGCAAGGACUGAGGAGCCGAAGCAGCCCUCUGGGGUUUCUAUUGGCACAAUUCUUCCAUUUUUGCUUCCAAACGAACCAAGAGAAACUGGGGGUGACGGCGAAGCUGGCAUUCUCUGGGGAAACCCAUAUCAACCCAAGUAAAAGUAGACUUCUGUGGUCCUGUC